GACGAACGCUGGCGGCGUGCUUAACACAUGCAAGUCGAACGCUGAAGCUUGGUGCUUGCACUGGGUGGAUGAGUGGCGAACGGGUGAGUAAUACGUGAGUAACCUGCCCUUGACUCUGGGAUAAGCCUGGGAAACUGGGUCUAAUACUGGAUACGACAUGUCACCGCAUGGUGGUGUGUGGAAAGGGUUUUACUGGUUUUGGAUGGGCCCACGGCCUAUCAGCUUGUUGGUGGGGUAAUGGCUCACCAAGGCGACGACGGGUAGCCGGCCUGAGAGGGUGACCGGCCACACUGGGACUGAGACACGGCCCAGACUCCUACGGGAGGCAGCAGUGGGGAAUAUUGCACAAUGGGCGGAAGCCUGAUGCAGCGACGCCGCGUGAGGGAUGACGGCCUUCGGGUUGUAAACCUCUUUCAGCACGGAAGAAGCGAAAGUGACGGUACGUGCAGAAGAAGCGCCGGCUAACUACGU
rnacentral:rRNA from 1 species